rnacentral:rRNA from 1 species
GGGGGGAAUCUUGGACAAUGGGGGCAACCCUGAUCCAGCAACGCCGCGUGAGCGAAGAAGGCCUUCGGGUCGUAAAGCUCUUUUCUGGGGGAAGAGGAAGGACGGUACCCCAGGAAUAAGUCUCGGCUAACUACGUGCCAGCAGCCGCGGUAAAACGUAGGAGGCGAGCGUUAUCCGGAUUUACUGGGCGUAAAGGGCAAGUAGGCGGUGGCCAAAGUUGGGCGUGACAACUCCCGGCUCAACUGGGAGGGGUCGCUCAAAACUGGGUGACUAGAGGGCAGGAGAGGGAAGCGGAAUUCCUAGUGUAGCGGUGGAAUGCUCAGAUAUUAGGAAGAACACCAGUGGCGAAGGCGGCUUCCUGGCCUGUACCUGACGCUGAGAGGCGAAAGCUAGGGGAGCGAACGGGCUUAGAAACCCGUGUAGUCC